UACGGAGGGUGCAAGCGUUAUCCGGAUUCACUGGGUUUAAAGGGUGCGUAGGUGGGUUUGUAAGUCAGUGGUGAAAUCUCCGAGCUUAACUCGGAAACUGCCAUUGAUACUAUAGAUCUUGAAUACUUUGGAGGUAAGCGGAAUAUGUCAUGUAGCGGUGAAAUGCUUAGAUAUGACAUAGAACACCAAGUGCGAAGGCAGCUUACUACACAGUUAUUGACACUGAGGCACGAAAGCGUGGGGAUCAAACAGG
rnacentral:rRNA from 1 species